AGUCUCCGGGCUGCAUUCGCGGAAUACGACUGAUCCGCGGGUGACGGCUCUGUGAAUGGGCAAGCAAAGCCCUCUGACUCCGGGCCUCGUCGCUAGAUGCUGUGUGUUAAGCGCCUGCGCUGUACUAGGACCUGGCGUGCCGCCGUGGGCAAAAAGUGACGCUUUCCUGAAGCUCAAAGUCCAGGGGGGUCGACCAAGCGGACAGCGGAUGCGUCCUGCGCCGGUAGCCGGGCGACCGGUGGAAGAGCAGAGACCAGCGCGGGCGAUGCGGCGAGGCCACGCUUGCUGCGCCGCGGGGUGAUUGGGAGAAGCGCUUUCCUGCGGGGUGGAGGACGGGGAGCUUCCCUGAGGAGGUCCGGGAGUCUAGUGGGAACGGCCUCUUCGGGACGGUGUGCAGAGCCUGGCGUGCUCGCCGAGGUCUGACAGGCAGCCCGGGGCUAGGUCCUGUUGGAUUUGUUUUUCUAAGGAAAAUGGGAAGUCGUGGUAGGGUUUGAGCAAAGGAGUCCCGGGCAGUUUUAAAAGGAUCCCUGCAGCUGCCGGCUGGAGGGCGUGGGUGCGCGUAAGGCCGGAAUCACGGAGACCAGACCUUUCCUAUUGAUUUAGGCCUUGAAGGACAAGGAGGAGCUCACCAGAGAGGGAAGGUGCUUGGGCCUGAGGAGCAGCCUGGAGGAAGGUGAGCAGCGGAGUGAGCUCCAUGCAGAGGAUCCUGCUAGGAAUCCCGCUCCUCCAUGCCAUCCGUAAAAGAAGAACAGAACCUACAUGCAGGGCAGAGUGAGAACGGAGCCAGCCAGCGUGAAAUGGGACUUUCCAGAGCUUGGCGCAGAGCUCACAGCAGAUUGGCAACCUGAAGGCGGGAGUGAGUCAGCGUCCCUCAGUAGCAGGAAGUGAGUGGGAGCGGGGAAGGAGCCAUGCAGAUUCCAGACGCACCUCAGGUCCUGGUUGGUGUGCUUAGAAUUCAUCCCAAUUAUGUUUACAUGUCAUUCAUUCAUUCACUCAUUUUUAUUUUUAUUUUAUUUCGAUUUUUUCCUCUGUUUUCAUACACCA